ensembl:lncRNA
CCGGUGUCAAUACAUUUAGGAAUGUUUGUAAACAAAUUAAUAAGAAUGGAAUAAGAUUACACAUAAAAUAAGUACAAUGCAAUAUGCAACCCUGUGUGUUUGUGUGUGCGUGUGUGCCCGUGUGUGAAUUAAAGGGACUGUCUAGCUCAGUAGUCUGCAUAUUAGUUGCAGUAGUUGGCGCACCUCUCCUAUCUCUGAUUGUUCUAGGGGUCUUCUGCCAGAGGUUACCUCAGCAUAUGUAGGCUGACGAUCUGACUGAUACAUGGUGUGGACUGCAUCAUGUGGUCUACUUCCCUGAAGGGCAGUGUUCUGACCGACCCUGGAGUAGUGGUCAGAGCUGUUUUGUGAUGGGUCUGGUCUGGUAGAGCUGUGUUGUGAUGGGCCAGGUCUAGUAGAGCUGUGUUGUGAUGGGCCGGGUCUAGUAGAGCUGUGUUGUGAUGGGCCGGGUCUAGUAGAGCUGUGUUGUGAUGGGCCGGGUCUAGUAGAGCUGUGUUGUGAUGGGCCGGGUCUAGUAGAGCUGUGUUGUGAUGGGCCGGGUCUAGUAGAGCUGUGUUGUGAUGGGCCGGGUCUAGUAGAGCUGUGUUGUGAUGGGCCGGGUCUAGUAGAGCUGUGUUGUGAUGGGCCAGGUCUAGUAGAGCUGUGUUGUGAUGGGACGGGUCUAGUUGUGCUGUCCUGAGGCGGAUCUGGUCUGGUAAAUAUGUGCUGUGUUGGGCCUGGUCUAGUAGAGCUGUGCUGUAAUAAGCCAUGUCUGGCUCUUUUCUCUUCGGGAUGGUGGAGGUACUGUUGUUUCAGAAGGUGGGGCGGGGGACCUCUGUAGCUGGGGUGAUGGGUGUGUGGGUCCCUGCCAAGCGUUGCAUCUUUUAGGUCCUUGGCAAAGGU